rnacentral:rRNA from 1 species
GUUAAGCGACUAAGCGUACACGGUGGAUGCCCUGGCAGUCAGAGGCGAUGAAGGACGUGCUAAUCUGCGAUAAGCGUCGGUAAGGUGAUAUGAACCGUUAUAACCGGCGAUUUCCGAAUGGGGAAACCCAGUGUGUUUCGACACACUAUCAUUAACUGAAUCCAUAGGUUAAUGAGGCGAACCGGGGGAACUGAAACAUCUAAGUACCCCGAGGAAAAGAAAUCAACCGAGAUUCCCCCAGUAGCGGCGAGCGAACGGGGAGCAGCCCAGAGCCUGAAUCAGUGUGUGUGUUAGUGGAAGCGUCUGGAAAGGCGCGCGAUACAGGGUGACAGCCCCGUACACAAAAAUGCACAUGCUGUGAGCUCGAUGAGUAGGGCGGGACACGUGGUAUCCUGUCUGAAUAUGGGGGGACCAUCCUCCAAGGCUAAAUACUCCUGACUGACCGAUAGUGAACCAGUACCGUGAGGGAAAGGCGAAAAGAACCCCGGCGAGGGGAGUGAAAAAGAACCUGAAACCGUGUACGUACAAGCAGUGGGAGCACGCUUAGGCGUGUGACUGCGUACCUUUUGUAUAAUGGGUCAGCGACUUAUAUUCUGUAGCAAGGUUAACCGAAUAGGGGAGCCGAAGGGAAACCGAGUCUUAACUGGGCGUUAAGUUGCAGGGUAUAGACCCGAAACCCGGUGAUCUAGCCAUGGGCAGGUUGAAGGUUGGGUAACACUAACUGGAGGACCGAACCGACUAAUGUUGAAAAAUUAGCGGAUGACUUGUGGCUGGGGGUGAAAGGCCAAUCAAACCGGGAGAUAGCUGGUUCUCCCCGAAAGCUAUUUAGGUAGCGCCUCGUGAAUUCAUCUCCGGGGGUAGAGCACUGUUUCGGCAAGGGGGUCAUCCCGACUUACCAACCCGAUGCAAACUGCGAAUACCGGAGAAUGUUAUCACGGGAGACACACGGCGGGUGCUAACGUCCGUCGUGAAGAGGGAAACAACCCAGACCGCCAGCUAAGGUCCCAAAGUCAUGGUUAAGUGGGAAACGAUGUGGGAAGGCCCAGACAGCCAGGAUGUUGGCUUAGAAGCAGCCAUCAUUUAAAGAAAGCGUAAUAGCUCACUGGUCGAGUCGGCCUGCGCGGAAGAUGUAACGGGGCUAAACCAUGCACCGAAGCUGCGGCAGCGACGCUUAUGCGUUGUUGGGUAGGGGAGCGUUCUGUAAGCCUGUGAAGGUGUGCUGUGAGGCAUGCUGGAGGUAUCAGAAGUGCGAAUGCUGACAUAAGUAACGAUAAAGCGGGUGAAAAGCCCGCUCGCCGGAAGACCAAGGGUUCCUGUCCAACGUUAAUCGGGGCAGGGUGAGUCGACCCCUAAGGCGAGGCCGAAAGGCGUAGUCGAUGGGAAACAGGUUAAUAUUCCUGU